rnacentral:lncRNA from 1 species
UGAAGAUCAAACAGCCACCACAUAUAUUUAUUUACAAUAUCCAACAAUAACACCACACAUGGAGAUACAAAAUGGAAUAUGCAGGGGUGUAAAUUGUAUGUUGGAUUAUGGGCUUAAAAGUUUAAAAGGGAACCCAACAAUAAAAUCCAAAUUAUAUUCAAAUUAUAUUGACUCUAUUUUAAAAAUAAUAAUAAUAAUAAUAAUAAUAAUAAUAAUAAUAAUAAUAAUAAUAAUAAUAAUAAUAAUAAAAGGAAAAUAAAGGUAAGAAAAAAUCAGUUUACCAUACACAGGUAUUCCGUGCUCCCCUUUGUUCUCAAAAUCACAACUCCUCUCUACCAAUGGUGUUUCCUUUCCUCCUAUUGAUGAAUGUUAUCGACACGGUGGCGGUGGAACUUUAUAGGGUGUAUAAACCUCAUUGAAGGUUGAUAGAUCAGAAGUGCUUGGAAGAUUAGAAGUACUAGCAAACUCAGGUCGUGGAUCUGUUUUACAUCACUUCUUCUCCUUUAUUUAUUUAGUUUUAUUUAUGUUUUGAUUCAACCCGGAUUGAGAUAUUUGUGUCGAUUGUUGAGUUUGUUACUGUUGCCAAUGAUGGAUCCACAGUUGUUGUUAUUGUUGUAGGGUAGUUGUUGUGUCUGAAGAUGUUGAUGGAGAUCGAGGGUGGUUGGAGGCGUUGCUGCAUAUCGGGGAGAGUAACACUGGUUAUCGGAAGGUGGCUAAAAGCAUGGUGGUAUGGAGUUAUUAAAUUGUUCUGGUGGUAGGUUUUAUGAUGGUUGUUGAGUGUUAGGAAGAGGGUCUCGUCGACAGAGGGUUUGUUUUUAUGGCGGAACAAAGUUGUCGUUUAAGAUGGUUAUUUGUGGAACUGAAUGUUAUGGUUGUGCAUGAGAGGAAAACAUAGUUGUGUUGGAGGGAGAAGGAGGAGAGGUUGUAACUACAACGGUUUAGAGGAAGAGGUUGGAUGUUGUGAUUUUUGAGUGAGUGACGGAGGUGAAGGAGUAUUCUCGGCGGAGUAUGGUGGAUGGAAAUAUGAGAGGUGGUUUUCGGUUUAUGAUUUGCAAUGAGAUAGGGCUUGUUGAUGAAUAGGAUUUAGGGGAAGUUGAGAGAGUAUUCUAUUUCCUCUUUGUGACCGUUAGAAAUUAAGAAAGUCUUGUAAGUUUUUUCUUCUACAUUUCAUGAGAGAGUGAGACAUGAUUGGUUAUUUAUGAGAGAGAAUUCAACGGUAAGACGCAUGUCCUUAUGUAAGAGGGUGUCAAUUGGUUGUUACUAGUGGGAGGAAAAUGAGGAGAAGAUUAUCCAAUGAAAAAAAAGAUGUGUUUUCUAUCUAAAUGAAAAACGUUUUUUUUCCUCAAUUCUUUCCCCUUCCCCAAUGAGACGCUGACACGUGUCCUUUGUU